AAAUGUUCAUUUUUUCUAGGACUUGCCCUCCUUCAAACCAAGAUGCAGAAGAUAGUGGAAAGAUGUGAAGUUAAAAAGUGGAAGCUAUGAUCAUAAAAAUGCUGGUACUCCUAUUCUCAACUUCUUCCCAUUGGUCGGAAGGACCCAACCCUUGGGUGGAACUGUCCCAUCGCCUGGCCAUAUUAUGGGUCCAAUGUUGGACUUGGAUGUGGAGUACGCAUUUGUGGUAGAUUUUGCAAAGUUGAGCUCUCUAACAAUUCCAUUAUCUUUUGUCCAAUAUCCUACAACUCGAGGUCCUGCACCAUUGACAUUGACUAUCUGGUAAGGAGGUGAUUGGAGUUGCCCAUCAACUAGUUUAAAAUCUCCAGCAAGGCCUCUGAAAGUGGUACUUGACAAUGCCUGAAUAAGAUCAGCUCCAACGCCUGAGACUCCAAAGCCUUCAAGAGUCAUAAGCCCAGAGUCCAAAGAUGUUCAAAUCCAGGUCAUGAUUUGCUAGGUUUUGCUGCUGAAGCUCUUUCUUGUAUCGGAUUGUGAAAUUGUCAAGCUCCUCCGAUUUCAGAAUAUAAGUGAUGAUCCAAGAGUAAUCUUCGCUCAUCAUUCCCAGUAGUUUAGCUUUGGUGAAUAGGCGAGAACCAAGACCAGUCAGCAUGUGGACAAUGAAAAUUCUAGUUUGCAUUGUCAUAAGCUUGUGAAGCUCUGCAACAAUCUCAUCAUCUGUUGCUGAUGAUGGGAUGACACUCCUGUAAGACUGGCACAACUUCUCUCCAUCCAAAGGCUUGGACUAUUGCAGCUAUGGCCUUUACUUGGGAAGAGUCGCUUAAGGCAGCGCGAACAAAGUAUGGACUUUGGAUUGACAAGAGAGACGGGCUUGUGGCUGAAAAGGGUACGGAGGGACUGGCAAAACAGGCAAGUUACAACAAAGAAAAAAAUAGAGACAAUGUUAUAUACGGUGCUUGCGGUCCACAACAAUUGUCCCCCAAGAUACGCUGCUUAAGUUGAAUUCGAUAUGUUGCACCAUAUGUUAACGUUCCGGCAAACUACUCAUUAUUUCGGACCGAAUAUUUCUCCAAUUACUCGAACUACAUGACGUCUAAGUUGAACUCGAUAUGUUGCGCUACGUGUUGACGUUCUGGCGAACUACUCGGACUGAAUAUUUCUCCUAUGACUUGAACUAUAUGUUAAAUAUGAUAGAAUAUUUGAAUACGAUGAUAUGCUGAAUGAUCUUUAUCAACAAGUCAUGCAAAAGUUGAACUCUUUAUCUGUAAGAUAAUAAUGAUCAAGACAAUAAUGAUCCGCUACAGGUGCUUGCGGUCCACAACAAUUGUCCCCAAGAUACAACGGUUAAGUUGAACUCGAUAUAUUGCACCACAUGUCGACGUUCUAACGAACUACUCAAUAUUCCGGAUUGUAUAUUACUCCUAUGCAGGGCCGGCCCUUGCAUAGGGCCAAAGGGGCAAGGGCCUAGGGCCCCCUAAAUUUAGGGGGCCCCAAAAUAAAUACAAGUCCACUAAUAUUAAUCUUAUUAAAAAUUUUAGAUUAUUUUUCUAAUAUUUUUAUUGCAUAUAGAAUAUUGUUGAUUAUAAUGUGGUUAUUGUCCCCUAAAAAAAGACUAUACUGGUUAUUGUAACUUUAGUAGAAAGAAGUUUUUUAAAAUUAAAAUCAAUAUAUUUGCAUUCUACUAUAUCUCAAAAAAGGUUAAAUGUAUUAGCAAUUUUAUACUUUAAACAUGGGGUAUUCUUGAAGAGGUUAUUGAUAAUUUUGUUCCCAAAAUAUUAAAAAUCUACUUUAUUUCAAUAAUUAUUUGAUCAUUAAUUUAUGAUUUAUUGCACUUUAUAAUAAUGUUAGUUAUAUAUGCAACUAUCUCAAGUUUGCUAUAAAAUUAUGAAGCUUCAUUUUCCAGGGGGCCUUUUUUUUUUUCCUUUCGCCUAGGGCCCCCAGAAUGUCAGGGCCGGCC